CGUGUAACUCUUUGUGACUGUGUGGCUUAGGGUCACACGGCCAUGUCGCCAGGCCGUGUAACUUUCUAUGCCCGUGUGAACCCACGUGUAACCCUGUCAGUUGGCCUUGUGUGGCACAUGGUUAUUUGAGAGCCUAUGUCAUAGGUCGUGUGCUCCAUAAUUAGCCCCUAAAACAAGCCAUUUCGAAACCAAACCUUACCCAACAAGUUGCUCCAUUUGUACAUACAUUCAAUAGACCUAAACACACUUCAAACAUUCAUAAACAUACUGUAAACGGGCCAAUUUGCCCGGGCCCACGUCAAAACCAAAAUCCAAAAUAAAGAAACAAAAAACCAAAACAGUCCAUUAAAUGUCCAAUUACAUAACAAAAAAUAAUAAUGACUAGCCCAAUUACAAAUCCCUAACCCAAAACCCUAAUGGCCCAAUAGGCCCAAUGCCUAAACCAAAUCUCAGCCAAGGCAGAACCCUAGCAGUUUCUGCUUGCGCCGCAGCGGUCCCAGCCUCCAUGACCCUUUAGCACCGUACGACCACAUCCGCGCCUUCAUACGCCCCACGCCAAGGGCCAACGCAUGCCAGCGGACUCCGUACCUGCAAGCAAAUACAAAGACACCAGCACAGCAAAGAGAAAGAAAGAAAACGACAAGAAAUUUGUAUUUUCUUUUUCAUUUUUCUCUAUUUCCGGCUAUAAAAGCCAUGUAAUAGCCAUUGUAUAUUUUUUACGCACACAAAGAGAACGCAAUAAAAAGCAAUCGAUAAAACAGAGCAAGGUGAUUUUCGAUUCAAAAAAUCCCUAAACACUUUACUUUCUUUAGUUUCUCUUUUUUUUUUUGGAUUUGUGAUUCUGAUAUUCAAAAAAAAAGAGAAGAGAAUAAAAGGCUUACCUCGCAAAUCUUCCAUUGACUCCUCCUUGCUUCGUCGAAAUUGAGGGUGAAGGAGGGAUCUCGAGGCUGAAAAUUGUUUUCAAAAGGCGAAUGCGCCUGCGGUUGGGGACGAUGGAGUCGAGGGCCAAAUGAUUUGGCUGAAGUAGGCUGAGGGAAAAAGAAGCUAGGGUUAGAGUGGCUGAAUAGCCAAAUUUCAACCCUUUUAAAGGGCUGAAUAUGGCGUCGUUUGAGCUUGUUUCUGUGGCUCCUGAAACGGUGUCGUAUGGAUUUAACCCGACCCGAUCCGUCCUCUUCACCCCUGGGAUCCGCGCGUUUCUGUGGGGAGGGAUAAUUUCACUCCAAGUCCUCCCCAUCUGCACGAGCCUUCAAAUCGCGCCUUAUUCGUUUGGCCUUGUUUUUCUUAAUUUCGUUCUUUAAUUUAUGCGCGUUUUCAUUUUGGUCCACGAUACAAUGAUGCGUUUUGGACUUGGGGAUAUUCCCAAUUCUAGUCCUCAUGUAGUUACGUGCGUUACACAUCAGUCCUAUUUCGAUUGUUUAUUUGUAAAUUAUCCUCUUUAUUUUAAUUUGAUUUCAAUUAAGUUUCUUUUUAGAUUCAUUUCAUGUUUUUUUUAUUCGUGUUAUUUUAUUUGAGUUGAUUGUAUCAUUUGUAUCGUUUGCUUACUUAUUUAUUGUCAUCCCGGUAAUUGUAUUUUCACGUUUUAUUCACUAUUUCAUGUAAAUGUUUUUUUAUAUAUGUACUAUAUACAUGUAUAUGCAUAUACUUUAUAUUAAAGUUAAUUUUAUUUCAUGCAUAUUAUUAACAUCAUAUUUCUAUAUACAUAUAAUUCCUUUUAAAUUUAUUCUUAUAUUUUAUUAUACGAUCCUACAUAAUAUAUCUUUUAAAUCAUUAUUAUCGUAAGUAUAUAUAUAUUUAUUGAUGCCUAUGUUUAAUCUAUAUACAUUUCUAAAUCUAUGCAUUUUAUACAUAUAGUUUUCUUACAUAUAUAAGCAUGUUCUUAAAUCUAUUAUGUAAUUUAUAAUAAAAUUAAUUUAGUCCUAUACAUAUUAUCAUUUCUAUGUUAUUUUACAUGUACUUGCUUUUAAAUUUAUAUGUAUAUAUAUUAAUACACUUAUUACUUUAAUAGAUUUUUUCUAUUUAAAACACUUCUUGCUUUAUGAUUUACCAAGUAUUUUCUUUAUGUAUAUAUGAAACUAUUUUACGAACUUCAUCCUUGUAAUUAUAAAAUUAUUAUUUUUGAAUGUUUCUUUAUAUUAUAUUACUUUUGUGUUCUAUAUAGCAUCUUAUUUAAAUGUUUUGAUAUAAGGGUAUGUAUAUAAUUUUUAGACUAACUUAAAAUUUAUAUAUAUAUUAUUAUUAAUCUUAUGUUAUUUUUACAAUAAAUUUAUAUGUACAUAUGUUUUAUAAAUCUAUUUUGUGUAUUAUAUCUUGUCAUGUAUCUUUAUUAUUCUUUCGUAUUAUAUAUAUUAUUUAAGUUAUCAUGUAUAUUGUCAAUUUUUAAAUGAACUUGUAUUUAAAAUAUUUUACAUGUAAUUUGAUUCAAACUUUGAUUCUAUAGUAUCUAUUUCAGAAAUUAUGUAUCCCUAGUUUUUAUGCAAAUUUGUCAACCUAUAUAUUAUGUGUCCAUUCAUUCGUCAUUAUUUUAAAAUCGUUUUAUAGCAUAUUGGCUUCUAAUUGCUAUUUUGUUUUUACAUCUUGCAUUGAUUAUUUUAUAUCAUGCUAUGUAUAUUAUUGUGGCAUAUUAUUGUGUAUUGUUUUGGUUGUAUUGAAUUGUUAUAUUGUUAUUUUCAUCAUUGUAUUAUUAUAUCAAUUAUUUCCCAUGCAUGAUUGUAAUCGGGUUAUAUUUUUUAGGUUAGUUAUACUUAAUUAUUAGUUUGUUAAUUGAUUGUAUCUUAUGUGUGUACAUUAUUCCAUAUCAUUGCUUUCCACCUACUUUACGAAAUGUGAUUUUUAUAAGGCCUAAAUCUUUAAGAUUAAUUUCGUUUUAACGCGUUUUAAGCUAUUUUUAUAAUUAUUCAUUUAAAAAUUCCAAAACGAAGGUAAUGUUCGAUGUUUGGCAAUUCGGGGAAUAGUGCCCUAUCGUGCUGGGUUUCGAUUUCCCGUUUGUUCAAAAUAAUCAAAUAUUCCUUUGAAAUUUCACUCGUGUUUUCUAAAUCAAGGCAAUGUUCAAUGUUUGGAAAUUCGAGGAAUCGUGCCCUACCGUGCUGGGUUUCGAUUUUUCGUUGGACUAAAUAAUUGGGCAUCCUUUUGUAAUUUACAACAUAUAAACUUUUGGAAGUCGAAAUUUAUCAUGUUUUCGAAGGCAUAAAGGAUCGUGUCCUAUCGUGCUGGAUGUGAUGCUAUAUUCCUCUAAAAUAAGAGAAUUUUGAUGACCAACUCGGGUUAUUCAAAUGUUAUUAAAAUGAACCACAUUUCAAUUGUUUUUUUAAAUUUUAGACAUAAGGACAAUAUCUAAUCAAUUUGGUACCAAGUUUGGGCGUAAUGAGGGUGCUGAUCCUUCCUCAUACAUAACCGACUCCCGAACUCGUUUUCUCAUAUUUACGUAGACCAAAAUCGUUGUUUUAGUAAAAAGAAAUAUUUUAUUAAAAUAACAAAAUUCUUAGGUGAUCUGAUCACACCUAAACCAAAAGGAUUGGUGGUGACUCCACAUUUUCAUUUUUAAAAGUUGAUCCCCAUUUUUUUAAAUUCGAAAUAAAAAAUGGUUUCGACACAUACCAAUUCAAUUAACCUAAAUCUUAUAACCAAUAUGCCAUUCAAAGGCACUUCAAUUCAUACCAUAGCAAAAUCAAUUAAGAACAAAAUAAUGUCACAUCUCAAACAAAAAAAACAUAGGUAAAAUAGCUACGUAAUGACAAGAAUUGCCAAUCCAUUGCACCAUUCAAAUUAAGCUUAUUAAAAUGACCAUAUUCAUAUAGCUUUUAACAUGUACAAUCCAACUAUACCAUAUAUGCAUACAACCAUUUACAAAAGUAACCAAAACACAACAAAAGUAUAAAUGACAUUAAACCCUACACAUGCCAUUUAUAACCAUAAAUCAAAAUAACUCAAAACUACCAAAGUGAUAGCGGGAUAGUGUGAUAGGACUCCGACAAAUUUCCAACUGAUUAAGCUUUCGAUGAUAUACAAAACAAAGGAAAAACAACCACAUAAACAUAUAAGGCUUAGUUAGUUCGUAAAAGAUAAACUUCAACAUACCAAACAUCAAUUAACAAUCCAUACAAGCAUGCUCAUUUCGUCAUUUAACAUUAAACUUUCCUAUGCACCAUAAUUCACAUGGUUAGUAGAAAUCAUGAAAGCAUAACAUCUCAUAUACUAGAAAAGAAAUUCCAUACCUUUCUUUUUCAUUACAUAACAACUUCCCAUUCAUUACAUUUCAUAAAUUCAUACCCACUGUACCUUUUGAAAUGAACAUUAGCAUUAAUAGGUUCUUAUACAUGCUUUUCCUUCAUCCCUUUCUUACCUAUUGAACGAUCUAAAAUCACAUCGGAUACUCAGGAAUGCUCACACAUAGUGUGCCUUUUCAUGUAAUCAUAAUCUUUCCUUUUUAAUAGUGUUCACAUAAGCUGUAAAAUGGGUUUGCUCACACGAGCUGUGGGUCAAAAAGUUAGCUACACAAUGCUGCUCACACAAACUAUGGAGAAUCCACAACAAAUGCAGGACCUCAGCCAUCAAUAGGACAUUCAAGACCAGCACCCGAAACUGUAUAACCUUAAUAACAUGUCAUUUGUAUCCUAAGAAUUCUUAAGGUUUAAAAUGGAUUACUUAACCAUCAAUUGUUCAAAACAUCAUGAAAUAUCUGAGCCUAAUUUAUAUUCAACAUAUUAUAACAAAUAAUCAAAUCAAAUUAUAAUUAAUAAGAUUACAAUUCAUACGAACUUACCUCGAUACCACGAUUGUUUUAUCAGAGUCAAAAACUAAUCCAACACCUUAGAUUUACCUCGAUUUAAGUCCGGUUGUUGCGUAUCUUGAUCUAAAUAAUAAUUUCAUUCAAUCAAGUACUUCAAAUAACCUAAAUUAUUCAAUUCUAUAAUUCAUGUUAUCAUGAAAUUAAAAAAUUACUCCACCUGUUUUAUCUUUUUCAUAACUUAGUACUUAAUGUCAUAACUUGAAAUUUAACCAUUUUUAAUCUAAACCCAUGAUAACCGAUUCUUCCCUAAGCUUAAAUAAUCUAAAAUUUUCCAUUAUUUCAUACAAUAUACAUGGAAAUUUUCAAUUAAGCAAUUUAAUCCCUAAACCUUACGUUCAUAAAAAUCCAUUAAACAAAUUAUGGUAAUUUAACAACCAAAUUUAAUUAUCUUACACCUAUCAUCACAAACACAUCAAUUUUAUUCAUGGAAAAACAUCUAACCUUUAACAAUUUUUCAAAUUAAUCCUCGACCUUAGUAGAUUAAGCUAAAAUGAGCUCAAAUACAUAAAAAUCAUUAAAAACGGGGCUCAAACACAUACCAUGCAAUGAAACAAGUCUAAACGAAACUUCAAACCCCUUCUUCAAUGGUAUUUUUGGUUGAAACAAGCUAAAAGGAAGAAGAUGAUAUCAUUUUAGUGAUUUAUUUUAGGUUUAUUUAAUUAAUUACAAUUUUACCCUUAGCUAAUAAACUUAUAAAAUAACUAAAUCAUGUCCAUCAUUGUCCACCACAUUUAUAAAUGACAUAAUUACCAUAAAACCCAUUAAUAAAUACUCCUAAAUCCAUUUAAUCCAUGUAAUUAAUAGAACCAUCUUUUGCAUCUUUUUCAGUUUAGUCCUUUUUAACUAAUUGACUAAUUAACUAAUUAAACUUCAACAUUUCUUAGCAAAAUUUUAAUAUGACUCUAAUUUAACCCCAUAAACCUUAAAUAAAUAUUAUAAUAUUUACUAACUUUUUGGAAUCAUAGUCCCAAAACCAUAAUUUUUGACACUACCAAAAACGGGCUGUUACAUCGAGCUCCAGCUUUUGUUGUGAACUCAAAGACACAUGUGACACAGAUUUAGUCUAGACUGGUAGUCUGUUGUCAUUCUAAAGGUUUAGCCCAGAUUGGUAACCUUACGUGUAUAUACAACCCUGGCCAGGCUAUUUACUAUGUCGUUAAAGGUUUAGCCCAGAGGGUAACCUAACACUGAUGUAUAUGAUUAGCUUGAACGAGCAUCAAACAUUAUUUUCACUUGUAUAUUGAGUUCUUUUACAAAGUUUCAUCGGGUAAAAUUGUAAAUAAAAAGGUGAUGAUAUAUUAAUUGAUGACAAAGUAAUGUAUAUGAUUUGGAUAUAAAAUAUAAGACAGUGUGAAAUGAAAAUGUAAACAGUUGUGGCUGUAUAUGUGAUUGAGCUCAAUAUAUUAUAUGUUUAAUGAUGUUAUUUGAAUAUUGAUAUAUGAUGCAAAUUAAAAGGUAAAUGGGAGUAAGGUGAUAAAUUAGAAUAUGAAUUCAUGUUGUGGUGAUAAAUUAGAAUAUGAAUUCAUGUUGUAUUUUAAGUUGAAUGUGGUGUUUUUCCAUUUGAGUUUAUGGAUUUGGAUUUGGUUUAAAUCUCACUUGAUUGAUGUUAUUUUUGGAUGCUAUGAUAGGUGAAAUUGUUUCAUAUUAAUUUAUGUAUUUGUUAAAUGAUUAAGAUAUGUAUUUGUUAAAUGAUUAAGAUAAGCAAUUCGUUUAUAUUGUAUGAGUUUACUAAGUAUUUUAUAAUACUUACCAUGUUAUUACUUUUCUAUAGAUUUUGGAUGUUUGGAAUGUGUUGAUCAGAUCAGUGAAAAGCACAUACCUUUCAUCUUCUGAUUCAAUAGACUUUGGUCGUUUCGAGUUUGGUUAUUUGUGACAUAUACAUGGGUUGGGUUAACUUAUGUAAAAUAGUGUGAACUUUGAUAUAGUAGCUUUGUAUAUAAGUUUAUGUUUGUGGUUUGGUAUUUGAUGUAUGGUAAAAGCUAAGUUUGGUGUUUAGUAUGACAAUAUGCAUAUUAUUUAAAUAGUGGCGUGAAAUUGACAAAGUUGGAAUGAUGUUAUGCAUAUGAAUUAGUAAAUGAUCAUGUUUUUUGCAUUAUUAAGUUUGAAUAUAUAAGUAUGUGCAAAUGGUAGCUUAGUGAAUCCUAAAUGGUAUUGACUAAUGUGAAAGACAACUUUAAACUAUGAUAUGUAUGUGAUCUAGCUUAUGGUAUGAAAUGGUUAAAAGCUUUAGUAUGAAUUUUAUUUGAUUUGAAUUAAUUGAAUUGUGGUGCCAAUGAGGGCAUAUAGGUUGUAUGUUUAAAUGUUUACAUGAAUUGGUGUUUUGGCUCUAAAGUGUUUUAGUUUUAGUGUUAAGUUGAAUGACAUAAAUUGGAAUUAUGGGUCAUUUGAGGAAAUGGUAUGAAAGCUUGCUCAAAUAGAUUAUUUAAGCUGCACACGGCCAUGUGCCGCACACAAGUGGUUGACACGAUCGGGUGUCACACACGAGUUGUUGAAACAGCCGUGUGUGCUACUUGUUUAGGAUAUUUUUAGUUUACACGGCCACAGUGAGUUACACGGUAUUGCGACACGGCCAUGUGACCCUGAGUUAAACGGGUACAGAUUGUUACAUGGUUUGAGGACGCGGGUUUAUGGCCUUGCACCACACAGCUUCAGGCUAUUACAUGACUUUGGCCACACGGUCAUGUGACCGUUAUUUUUCAUUUAUGCCUUUUAUUUUGUAAAUGUUUUAGUUUGUUCUCGAUUUAAUUCCAAACUUUCUCAAAGGCUUUUAGAAGCUCGAUUAAGACUUGGUUUUGAUUGUAAUGCAUGUUUAACAUGGAAUUAACUUGUAUUUAUUGAUUAUUGAGUAUUAUUGAAUAAAUUGCUUGUGAAUGUUUUGGUUUACUAUUGUAGCAUCUUAUAGUUUUGAUUCAACGAUUGGACUGAUAUAGGGUGUUACAUUUAGUGGUAUCAGAGCUACGAUUUAAUUUAUUCUAGGACUGAACAUAGCGUGUAUUAAGUCUAGAAAUACAUGCGACAAUAACAUGUAUUUUCGUGUGAUGCUUUUUGUGACAGCCCUAAUUUGACCCUAGUCGAAAAGUGGUUUUGAGACCACAAAACCGAGUCAUAAAAAUAAUUAACCGUUAUAUUUUAUGCUUAUUGUAUGUGAACAUGCAUGUGUGAAAGAUACAUACCUUAAAUUUUGUUAUUUGAAUGUGAAAUUUAUUAAAUAGGACUUAUGUGAGACAAUUGUGAAAUGUGAUAGCUAAAUUGUAAAGUGGUCUAUUAAUGCAUGUUGUCAAAAAGGUGGACUUACAUGUCAAAUUAGCCAUUUUUUUUAGUGGCCGGCCAUGAUAUUGAUUAAUAUAUAUUAUAUGUGUUUUAUAUUAGCAUUUUAAUAUACAAAAUAAAUAAGAAAAUAAGAUAAAGAGUUAGUGGGAGGAAAAACCAAAGGGAAUCCAUUUUUACUCCUCCAUUGCCGUAGCUUGAAGUGAGGAAGAAGUAAAUUUUGGCUUAAAUUUUCAGCUUAGCUGAUGGCUAUAAUGAGGUAAGUACUAAGAAAUUCUUGAAAAAUUAUGCAUAGUUUGGAUGAUUGGUUUGAAUGCUACCUAUUCCAUGUUUUAAAUUUAGGUUAUUUGGGGGUUUGAAAUUCGGUCAAGAAGCUAGAACUCUUAGUAUAUAUAUAUUUUUCUUUAUUAAAUUGGAUAGUAAUGUGGAGGAUGAUGAAUUGUUAAAUUGCUUUUAACUUGAAGGUAGAGGUUAGAAUGUGUUUUAGGGAGAUGCCGAAUGUGGUUAUUGUAGGUAUCUUAAGAAAUAAUAUUGUGGCUUGAGUUGCUAACAAUCGGUUAAGGACUAUGAGGAUUAACAAUUUCGGUAUGAUGUAUAGGUGUUAAUUACCAUGUAUUUAGAUGAUUGAAGAUUAAGUAGUGGCUUAAAUUCUUAGUGGCAAAUGGCUAUUAUGGUGAAAUGCAAAUGUUAAUAUUUAGUUGCUAGUGUUUAUAUGUGUGUUAGCCGAAUUUGAACUUGAAUAAUGAUUUGAGCGCAAUGUGUUGUAUUGAUAUUAUGCUUAAGUGAAAUUAUAGAUAUAUAUAUAAAGAAAUUGAUUGGUGAUACACAUGUUUAAAUAAUAUGUAUGCAAAGGAUGUGUGAAAGAGUGAAUUAGUAAUAAUCUGUUUGGGACAGCAGCAGUAAAGUGAUUUUGGAAAAUCACCAUAAAUUGUGGGAGUUGAGUUAGAAGCUGAAUAAAUUAUAUAAUUAAAGCUUGAUGAGUCUAGUUUCUUAUAAAAGAAACUAUAAAAGCAAAAUAAUUUCCAAUAAUGAGAUAUUUGAAGUAAUGUGGGACAGAGGCAAAAUGACUUCUAGAUCCCCUGUUCUAUUUUUAUAAAAUCACUAUAAAACGUAUAAAAAUAGUCAAAUGAUGAAAUUUAUAUUCUUAGACUCCUUAAUGAGUCUAGUUUCAAAUGAAAUAAACAAGAACAUGUUGUGAAUUCUGUACAAUGAGAAAUUUAUUUCGUAGUAAAGAGUGGUCAGAUUUGUCAAACAGUGAAACAAGGGAAACUUUAGGAAAAAUAUGGUGUUGAUUGGCUAAACUAAAAAUUAUGAAAAUUUUAUGGAUAAAGUAUAAAUGAGUCUAUUUUCAUGAAAAAUUUACGAAAAGUUAUUUGGAGUUUCGUAGCUCUAGUUAUAAAUGAUUUAGUGACUAUUGUUCAGGAAGUCAGCUUAUAGUGAAAUUGUGAUUAUAUUGUAAACAUUGAUAAAAAUUCGCUAAUGAAUUGCUUAUUGAUUUCUUAUAAGCUUACUACAAUCUGUAUGUGUGAAAGUCGAAUAUAUAUGUAUUAUAUUCUGAAAAAAAUAUUUGAAUAGUCGAUUAAUGAUUAGUUUAAAAUUUGUUGAAUUAAAAGCUCAAGAGCAUAGGGGGCAAUUUCGAAUAAGGGAAAAGAGAAAGUAACCGAGUAGCCAUUUCGCAACCGUUCAAAUAUAUUCGAAGUAAGUUUUAAGUAGUUUCCUUUAGUAUAUAAUUGACGAUGCAACUAUAAGAGUAUAGUAGGUAAAUUGUGAUCUUUGGCUUGCACUUGAAUUAAGAUGUGUAACGCCCUAAUUUUCGGGAAUUUUAAAAAUGUUAGAAAUUCAGUGUCCUGUUUGUUUGUCGUAGGAUUAAGUACUUUAGUGGGCCUCUAGAAGGCCCAAGCUUAAGGUAAAACCCAGUAGUUUUAAUUAAUUUUAAUUCCAUAAGAAAAAGGGGUUCUGGUUAAUUGGGCUUUUAGGUAUUAAUUGUGUAAAAUAAAUCACAAGGAAGCAUGUGGUAAAGUGGCUAAGUGACGCCACUGGCAAGGCUAUAAAAGUGGCGUGUGGAUGCUAGGCAGAGCUGAGGUUCAAGUCACGAUGACAACAUAUUAAGGGAAUUAUUAUUUUUAUGUUCAGAAAAGGUAAGCAGUGGAACUGAAGUGAAAGUUUGUCAGGAGAGGAUUUAUGAGUUGAUAAGGGAUAGGAUUUAGGAGUUGAUAAGGGAUAGGAUUUAGGAGUAGAUAAGGGAGGAAAUCUAGGAGCUGGUCAAGGAACAAGAGGUGGCCAGCCAAGGGACUUUAGCAUGGGAAUUUUGGCUAGGGUUAGUGCUAGUAUAAAUUUGGCAUUAGUGGUAAGUGGUGCCGUUUCCUGACCAUUCUCUUCUUCUUUUCUUUUUCUCUUCUCUCCAUCCACUUAUUCUUUUCUUCUUCUUUCCCCAUAGCCGAAUCCUUCAGCCACCCUACUCUAUACCACCUUCCUUCCAUUAUUUUUAAGACUAUAGGCGAUUGCCUCAAAUCCCGAAAUCCUGAAAACUUGACUCAUUUUGUACCGAUUUUUCCCUAGCCAAAUCUCUUAUUUUUCUCAUCAUCUUUGGCCGAUUCUCUCAACCUCUAAACUCCAGGUUUCUGUCGACAAUACCACAAGUAAAAACCCUCAUAUUUUAUCUUUCUCUACACUUUUGUAAAAAGCCAAAACUCCCACACUAUCCUAGGGACAUAGCCAAAUACUGAGAUCACUGAGGGCUCGACUUUUGUUAUCGUUUGAGGGCUUAGAACUGCAUCAGAAUCAAGUAGGAACUAAGGGGGAACGUUGACUGGAAGAAUCAGUGGUAAGUCUUUCCAACUUAGUCUAUCUUGCAUAUUUUAAGAAAAGCCAGAAUCCCUAAAAGGUUAGGGAGAUUGUCAUUUUUUGGACUUGUAGCCCUAAGGGGUUGUGAUAAUAGUAUUAUUUUGGUAAUAGUGUGAUUAAGAGGCUAUUGAUCAAGGGCUUGGACAAGGGGAGUGAACGGAUCUGGAUCGAGACACUAUUUUCUGCAAAGGUAGGAACGCUAAGGCCUAAGGUGUUGUUGGCCGAAUAUGGUAAGAAGUUAAUAUGUAGUUCGUUUCGGUAGUAAGAUUAACGUGGUAGUAUUAUAAUUGUAGGUAGUUCAUGCGUGGAUCUCGUCAGCGAAUCGUCAUAAAACAGGUGUGUAACUGACACCCUCUCAUAGACUAGAUCGGCAAAAGCCGAAAAGUCGAAAUGCCGAAAAGUUGGUAUUUUGGGAAUUUGCGAGUGUGCGAAUGCUCGUAAGAUAGUUGGGUUUGUAUGUUUGGUAUUCUGAAGGUAAUAAACUGCAGUACGUGCGAUUUCGUGCAUUUUGAUAAUGUGGGCUUAAUGGGCCAAAAAUCGGGUUCAUGGGCCAACAGGCUCAAUUUGGUAUGUAUGUGCGGUAAGUAUUCUGAUAGUACGCAAAUGGAUAGGAUAUGCAUGAAAACCCUAGAAGUAGCUAAAUCACUACAAUACCCUUAUGUAUGGAAAAUUACCAUGAUACCCCUAGGUGUAAAUGACCAAUAUGCCCCUAGGGUUAAUUUUGUCUGAAAAACAUGUUAAUUUAAAUCUGUAAGAUGUAUGCCAUGAAUGAAUAUUUGUUGCAUGGGGACAUGGGUUAUAUUUUGGAGGAAGCGUCCUGGUGGCUAUGCCACAAUUAUCUGAUCUGGUGGCUCUGCCACGAUUAUCUGUAUCUGGUGACUCUGUCACAUUAUCUGUUCUGGCAUCCAUGCUGCAUAAUUCUGUGGCGUGUAGCGGUUGGGUGGGUCGAGUAGUCUCCCCACAUGGUGAAAGGAUGGUAUGGGGGUGUACAUGGUUGGAUAUGGGUUGGGUUUUGCAUAUACAUGAAAUAUCUGAUCUGAUCUGUUAUGGGCCUAUGGGCUUAAUUCUGUAUUCUGUUCUGGGCUAAGGCCAAUUUAUUCUGUUUCUGUGGUUUGAGCUGAUAUGGGCUAUGGUUGGGUCAAUUUUACACACUGAGUUUCCCAAAACUCAUCCCCUAUUUUCAUCCAUGCAGGUAAUCCCCAGCCAUAGUGGGCUUGGAGCUACGAGGGAUUCGGAGUGGCCACUCGUUCUGCAAUAUGGAUUUCUUCUGGUGAUUUGGACUUCAAUUUUCUUUACUUUGAUGAUUUGGGUUUUGUUAUGUAAUAAGGUCCCUUAUGAUUUUUUUAAUUGGGUUUCGAUUUAUAACUUAUCAUGAUGACCUUAAAUUAUAUUAACUAUCAAAAUGGGCUAGAUCUAGGGUUCGUUUUCCAAAAACAUAAACUGAUUUCGAAGUAUCACGAUUACAAACAAGGCUUCUGCUAUGAUAACGUUUUACAAACUUAAAUACGUUUUAUUCUAAAAUAGACAUAAUUUCAAUGGUAACCUAAAAAUAUACGCGAUGUUAGAGUGUGGCAAUGGCGGUGUGCAUGUUUAGGAUUGGAUCCGGAAGAGCUUGGUACUUAAGCAGUCCGAUGGACUCACCUCUUUUUUCCGGUUUCCUACCUGGUGUAUAGCUUCCAUUCACUUUAACCCUUAAUGAAUUAAUCCUUUGAACAUCAAGUACGAUUUUCUGAACUUAGAACGGAAAAAUGUUUUUAAUGUUUUUGAUGUGGCACGUCUGAUCCGGUCAUAACGUCUAGGCUGGGUUUGGGGUGUUACAUUUAGUGGUAUCAGAGCCAGGUUGCAACAACUCGGCUGUGGAAUGGGUUUACAAAAACGAAGAUUUCAAAAAAAAAUUCUGUUUUUAAAAUCUGGACUUCUGAAGGUGGCAUUCCGAAUCUCCGGCCCAAGCCUGUAAGUAUUCUGAAUUUUUCUGAAUAUAUUCUGAAUUAUCUGUCUGUACUGAAACUUUACUAGAAUAUUCUAGAUAGGAUGCUACUGAAAUCCUAGAAAAGCUUGCUAAAAGACUGAAACUGUAGCUAGACAUCGAUUCUGCGAAAACCAACUCUGAAUUAGUGUCUGAAUCAUAAAACAUCUGUAAUAAACAUUGGAAUGAUAUUAAUGCAUAAAAUUCAUAAUCAGAUAAUAUGAUAUGAGUACAAGAGCCACUCGUGGGAGAGGCCGUGGACGUGGCCGAGGAAGGGCUCGAGCGGUAUCUUCAUCUUCGGGACAUAUGCCGGCGGCAGAUGCACCGGUACCAUCGGCAACAGAAGUGGAGUCUCAUGAUCGUGGUGCCGGGGAUGACGCCCUGUCGCAGGCUAUGCUUCGAGUUUUGGAAAGGGUUACUGAGGCAAGUAUGGGCAACGGAGUUCGGGGGUCCAUUUCGGAACGACUCCGGGCCAACGGGGCGUAGAUUUUUAGGGGUGUGUCUGGUAUCGCUCCGAAUGUGGCAGGAUAUUGGUUGGAGGCCACAGAAUGAAUUAUGGAUGACUUGGACUGCUCGGUGGAGCAGAAGCUGAAGGGGGCCGUAUCGUUGUUACGAGAUGAGGCUUAUCUAUGGUGGCUCACCGUAAGGGAUGGAACCCCAGCUGAUAGGGUUACAUGGGAGCUGUUUAAGACCGCCUUUAAAGGAAAGUACAUCGGGGCAAGUUAUGUGGAUGCCCGCAGGAAGGAAUUCCUGAAUCUGGUCCAAGGAUGUAAAACUGUCGCUGAGUAUGAGGCUGAGUUUCUAAGGCUGAGCCGGUAUGCUGUGGGGAUAGUCUCUACGGAGUAUGAGCGUAGCGUUCGCUUUGAGGAUGGACUAAGAGAUGACCUUAAGGUGCUGAUUGCUCCGCAGAGGGAGCGGGAUUUCGCGGUUCUGGUGGAAAAAGCUAAGAUAGCUAAGGAGGUAAAGCGUGCUGAGAGGCAGAACCGUGAGAAAGAUCGGAACCAUUUUCGGAGGGAUUCAGGACCCUCGGGUGGUGCCAAUAAGAAUAUUAAGAGAGCAAGAGUAGAGGAACCAGUGCGAGCAGUGCCGAUAAAUGUGGUUAGACCACCAAUCUGUGGAGACUGUGGUAAGGUACAUUUGGGCGAGUGUAGGAAACGUUUCGGUGCUUUUUUCUGAUGCGGAUCUAUGGAGCAUAGAGUUAAGGACUGCCCACAGAGAGUUGAUCAGGCUCAGGUUGCUGUACAGAGGGUUGUUCAACCCGCGAGAGGUGGACCACAACCACCGAGAGGACGUGGACAAGGUAGGGGCGGAAAUGGAAAUGGAAAUGGUCGAGGUCGAGGGGCGCCUGGAAGGGGUACCAGAAAUUCUGAGGCUCGACAGCCAGCGUUGGUGUAUGCGACUCGUCGUCGAGAGAAGGGUGACGCACCUGACGUCAUAACUGGUAAAUUUUUGGUUUCUAGCAUGCCAUAUACUGCUUUGGUGGAUAUUGGAUCUACUCAUUCCUAUGUUGCAUGUGCCAUAUCUGGGUCGUUGGGAGUGCAUUCUGAAAAGAUAGUGAGUGGGGUAUCUGUGUUAAGUCCUUUGGGCCACUCGGUUAGGGUAGACAAAUUGUAUAGGGAUGUACCCCUAGAAACUCAAGGUAGGAUCUUUCCUGGAGAUCUAAUGGAGUUGCCGUUCGGAGAGUUUGACCUCAUUCUAGGAAUAGACUGGCUUGUUAAUCAUAGGGUGACUUUGGAUUGUGCUGCAAAACGAAUGGUGUUAAGGACCACGGAGGGUGAGGAGGUUAUGAUGAUAGGUGAGCGAAGGGACUAUUUGUCUAAUGUGGUGUCGGUAUUGAGGGCCGAAAAGUGGAUUCGAAAAGGUUGUGAGGCCUAUUUGGCAUUCGUAAGCCAGUCGGAAGAGAAGGGAUUGACAGUGGAUAAGGUUAGGACCGUAAAGGAGUUUCAAGAUAUUUUUCCGGAGGAACUUCCGGGAUUACCUCUAAACCGAGAAGUGGAGUUUGGAAUCAACUUGUUGCCUGGAAUGGCGCCAGUGUCUAUCGCACCGUAUAGGAUGGCACCAAAGGAGUUGGUGGAGCUAAAGGCACAAAUUCAAGAGUUGUUGGAUAGGGGCUUUAUUAGGCCAAGCGUGUCUCCAUGGGGAGCACCGGUGUUAUUCGUGAAGAAGAAAGAUGGUACAAUGCGGAUGUGCAUUGACUAUCGCCAGUUGAACAAACUGACCAUUAAGAAUAAGUAUCCACUGCCAAGGAUUGACGAUCUGUUUGACCAACUUAAGGGGGCUUCUGUAUUUUCUAAGAUCGACCUUAGAUCUGGAUAUCAUCAGUUAAGGGUCAAGGAGACGGAUAUCCAUAAGAUGGCAUUCAAGACUCGGUAUGGUCAUUACGAAUUUCUGGUUAUGCCAUUUGGGCUGACGAACGCUCCUGCUGCAGUUAUAGAUCUGAUGAAUCGGGUGUUUCAACCAUUUCUGGAUCAAUUCGUAGUCGUCUUUAUUGACGAUAUUCUGGUAUAUUCUGAAACGGAAGCAAAGCAUGAUGAGCAUCUCCGUAUAGUGCUACAAGUGUUAAGGGAGAAGAAACUUUAUGCAAAGUUCAGCAAGUGUGAAUUAUGGUUGAGGGAGGUAACUUUCUUAGGACAUGUGGUCUCUGCUGAGGGGAUUAAGGUGGAUCCUCGAAAAAUUGAAGCAGUUUUAGAGUGGAAGCCGCCUAGGUCAGUAUCAAAGAUACGGAGUUUCCUGGGAUUAGCAGGAUACUACAGAAGGUUUGUGGAAGGUUUUUCGGUGUUGGCUGCACCUCUGACUAAACUCAUAAGGAAAGGGGUACCAUUUGUAUGGACUGAGACCCAGCAGGAAGCUUUUGAAAAGUUGAAGAAAGUUUUGACUGAAGCACCUGUGUUAAUUCAGCCGGAGUCUGGGAAGGAUUUUACUGUGUACAGUGGCGCAUCACAUGUAGGUUUGGGCUACGUGUUAAUACAGAAGGGUAAGGUGGUUGCAUAUGCGUCACGGCAGCUUAAGCCUCACGAGGGUAACUAUCCUAGUCAUGAUUUGGAAUUAGCAGCAGUGGUCUUUGCACUUAAGAUUUGGAGACAUUACUUGUACGGAGAAAGGUGUAUUAUAUACACAGACCAUAAGAGUCUUAAGUAUUUGUUGACUCAGAAGGAGCUGAACCUUAGGCAAAGGAGAUGGAUUAAGUUGCUUAAGGAUUAUGACUAUUCAAUCGAGUAUCACCCAGGAAAGGCUAAUGUGGUAGCCGAUGCUUUGAGUCGUAGAACUGUAUCUGAUCUGAGAGCAAUGUUUGCUCGUUUGAGUCUGUAUGAUGAUGUCAGUUUGUUGGCUGAAUUACAAGUAAGGCCAACCUGGGUGGACCAGAUUAAGGAAAAGCAGUUGGAAGAUGAGUCUUUAGUCGCUCGUUUUCAACAAGUUAAGGAAGGGGAAAUUUCGGAGUUUAGUUUAAAUGGUGAUGGAGUUCUAUGUUUCCGAGGAAGAAUUUGUGUUCCGAAGGACUUUGAUCUAAGGCAGACAAUAUUGAAGGAAGCUCAUGGGGGACUAUGUGCCAUGCAUCCUGAAGGGAAUAAGUUGUAUCACGAAAUGCGAGAAUUGUACUGGUGGCCUGGACUUAAGCGAGAAGUGACGAAGUUUGUAGGAAAAUGUUUGACGUGCCAACAAGUGAAAGCUGAGCAUCAAUUACCUUCUGGACUGUUGCAGCCGGUAAAGAUACCACUUUGGAAGUGGGAGAGGGUAACCAUGGACUUUGUGAGUGGGUUGCCGUUGACACCAUUGAAGAAAGACUCGGUAUGGGUGAUUGUGGAUAGGUUGACCAAAUCGGCCCAUUUCAUACCAGUACGUACCGACUUUUCGCUUCAAAAGUUAGCCAAACUGUAUGUGGCGGAGAUUGUACGACUUCAUAGAGCCCCAGUUUCGAUUAUCUCUGAUCGGGAUCCCAGAUUCACAUCUCAGUUUUGGCAAAAGUUCCAUGAGGCAUUGGGGACGCGGUUGAACUUCAGUACGGCUUUCCAUCCCCAAACUAAUGGUCAGUCAGAAAGGGUCAUUCAGAUUCUGGAGGACAUGUUAAGGGGAUGCGUGAUUGACUUUCGAGGUAGUUGGGAGGACUACUUACCGUUGGCAGAAUUUGCGUACAAUAACAGUUAUCAGGCGAGUAUUCGAAUGGCACCGUAUGAAGCACUGUAUGGUCGAAGGUGUCGUACACCUAGUUGUUGGACGGAGCUAGGGGAGCGACAAGUUCUUGGACCGAAAUUGGUGGCUGAUACUAAGGCUAAGGUCAGAAUAAUUAGGGACCGUUUGAAAGAAGCAUCUGAUAGGCAAAAAUCGUAUGCAGAUUUGAAGUGUAAGGAGAUUGAGUACUCAGUAGGGGAUAUGGUCUUUUUAAAGGUUUCUCCUUGGAAGAAGAUAUUGAGGUUUGGUAAGAAAGGCAAGUUGAGUCCGCGAUUCAUUAGGCCUUAUCGGGUUUUGAAGCGAGUAGGCCCAGUAGCUUAUCAGUUGGAAUUACCUCCAGAGUUGGACAGGAUUCACGAUGUUUUCCACGUCUCCAUGUUAAGGCGUUAUCGUUCUGACCCUACUCAUGUCGUGCUGGUUGCAGAAAUUGAGGUGCAAAUUGAUUUGACUUUUGAGGAGGAGCCUGUGCAAAUUUUGGAUCGAGAUGUAAAGAUUCUGAUAAGGAAAUCUAUCCCAUUAGUAAAGGUGCUUUGGCAUAAUCAUGGCAGAGAGGAAGCUACUUGGGAGCCAAAGGAGGCGAUGCAGCAACAAUACCCUCAUCUGUUCAGAUCAGGUAAAUUUUGAGGACGAAAUUUCUUUAAGAAGGAUAGAGUUGUAACGCCCCAAUUUUUGAGAAUUUUAAAAAUGUUAAAAAUUCUGUGUCCUGUUUGUUUGUUGUAGGAUUAAGUACGUUAGUGGGCCUAGGCCCAAGCUUAAGGUAAAACUCGGUAGUUUUAAUUAAUUUUAAUUCCAUAAGAAAAAAGGGUUCUGGUUAAUUGGGCUUUUAGGUAUUAAUUGUGUAAAAUAAAUCACAAGGAAGCAUGUGGUAAAGUGGCUAAGUGACUCCACUGGCAAGGCUAUAAAAGUGGCGUGUGGAUGCUAGGGAGAGCUAAGGUUCAAGUCGCACUGACAACAUAUUAAGGGAAUUAUUAUUUUUAUGUUCAGAAAAGGUAGGCUGUGGAACUGAAGUGAAAGUCUGUCAGGAGAGGAUUUAGGAGUUGAUAAGGGAUAGGAUUUAGGAGUUGAUAAGGGAUAGGAUUUAGGAGCAGAUAAGGUAGGAAAUCUAGGAGCUGAUCAAGGAACAAGAGGUGGCCGGUCAAGGGACUUUAGCAUGGGAAUUUCGGCUAGGGUUAGUGCCAGUAUAAAUUCGGCAUUAGUGGUAAGCGGUGCCGUUUCCUGACCAUUCUCUUCUUCUUUUCUUUUUCUCUUCUCUCCAUCCACUUAUUCUUUUCUUCUUCUUUUCCCCACAGCCGAAUCCUUUAGCCACCCUACUCUAUACCACCUUCCUUCCAUUAUUUUUAAGACUAUAGCCGAUUGCCUCAAAUCCCGAAAUCCCGAAAACUUGACUCCUUUUGUAUCGAUUUUUCCCUAGCCAAAUCUCUUAUUUUUCUCAUCAUCUUUGGCCGAUUCUCUCAACCUCUAAACCCUAGGUUUCUAUCGACAAUACCACAAGUAAAAACCCUCAUAUUUUAUCUUUCUCUACAUUUUGCAAAAAGCCGAAACUCCCACACUAUCUUAGGGACAUAGCCGAAUACUGAGAUCACUGAGGGCUCAAAUUUUGUUAUCGUUUGAGGGCUUAGAACUGUAUCAGAAUCAAGUAGGAACUAAGGGGGAACAAUGACUGGAAGAAUCGAUGGUAAGUCUUUCCAACUUAGUCUAUCUUGCAUAUUUUAAGAAAAGCGAGAAUCCCUAAAAGGUUAGGGAGGUUGUCGUUUUUUGGACUUGUAGCCCUAAGGGGUUGUGAUAAUAGUAUUAUUUUGGUAAUACUGUGAUUAAGAGGCUGUUGAUCAAGGGCUUGGACAAGGGGAGCGAACGGAUCUGGAUCGAGACACUAUUUUCGGCAAAGGUAGGAACGCUAAGGCCUAAGGUGUUGUUGGCCGAAUAUGGUAAGAAGUUAAUAUAUAGUUCGUUUCAGUAGUAAGAUUAACGUGGUAGUAUUAUAAUUGUAGGCAGUUCGUACAUGGAUCUUGUCAAUGAAUCGUCAUAAAACAGGUGUGUAACUGACACCCUCUCAUAGACUAGAUCGGCAAAAGCCGAAAAGUCGAAAUGCUGAAAAGUUGGUAUUUUGGGAAUUUGCGAGUGUGCGAAUGCUCGUAAGAUAGUUGGGUUUGUAUGUUUGGUAUUCUAAAGGUAAUAAAAUGCAGUACGUGCGAUUUUUUCCAUUUUGAUAAUGUGGGCUUAAUGGGCCAAAAAUCGGGUUCAUGGGCCAACGGGCUCAAUUUGGUAUGUAUGCGCGAUAAGUAUUCUGAUAGUAUGCAAAUUGAUAGGAUAUGUAUGAAAACCCUAGAAGUAGCUAAAUCACUACAAUACCCUUAUGUAUAGAAAAUUACCAUGAUACCCCUAGGUGUAAAUGACUAAUAUACCUCUAGGGUUAAUUUUGUCUGAAAAACAUGUUAAUUUAAAUCUGUAUGAUGUAUGCCAUGAAUGAAUAUUUGUUGCAUGGGGACAUGGGUUAUAUUUUGAAGGAAGCGUUCUGAUGGCUAUGCCACAAUCAUCUGAUCUGGUGGCUCUCCCACAUAUUUCUGUUCUGGUGGCUCUGCCACGAUUAUCUGUAUCUGGUGACUUUGUCACAUUAUUUGUUCUGGCAUCCAUGCUGCAUAAUUCUGUGGCGUGUAGCGGUUGGGUGGGUCGAGUAGUCUCUCCACAUGGUGAAAGGAUGGUAUGAGGGUGUACAUGGUUGGAUAUGGGUUGGGUUUUGCAUAAACAUGAAAUAUCUGAUCUGAUAUGUUAUGGGCCUAUGGGCUUAAUUCUGUAUUCUGUUCUGGGCUAAGGCCAAUUUAUUCUGUUUCUAUGGUUUGAGCUGAUAUGGGCUAUGGUUGGGUCAAUUUUACACACUAAGUUUCCCCAAACUCAUCCCCUAUUUUCUUCCAUGCAGGUAAUCCCCAGCCAUAGUGGGCUUGGAGCUACGAGGGAUUCGGAGUGGCCACUCGUUCUACAAUAUGGAUUUCUUCUAGUGAUUUGGACUUCAAUUUUCUUUACUUUGAUGAUUUGGGUUUUGUUAUGUAAUAAGGCCCCUUAUGAUUUUUUUAAUUGGGUUUCGAUUUAUAACUUAUCAUGAUGACCUUAAAUUAUAUUAACUAUCAAAAUGGGCUAGAUCUAGGGUUCGUUUUCCAAAAACAUAAACUGAUUUCAAAGUAUCACGAUUACAAACAAGGCUUCUGCUAUGAUAACAUUUUACAAACUUAAAUACGUUUUAUUCUAAAAUAGACAUAAUUUCAAUGGUAACCUAAAAAUAUAGCGAUGUUAGAGUGUGGCAAUGGCGAUGUGCAUGUCUGGGAUUGGAUCUGAAAGAGCUUGGUACUGAAGCAGUCCGAUGGACUCACCUCCUUUUUCCAGUUUCCUACCUAGUGUACAGCUUCCAUUCACUUUAACCCUUAAUGAAUUAAUCCUUUGAACAUCAAGUACGAUUUUCUGAACUUAGAACGGAAAAAUGUUUUUAACGUUUUUAAUGUGGCACGUCCGAUCCGGUCAUAACGUCUAGGCUGGGUUUGGGGUGUUACAAGAUGUAUAAUAGAUAAUGCAUGUAUAUGACUUAUAGUUUGAUGGCCACUUUGAAUUUAAGAUUAAAUGAUGAAGAGAAUGAGUGAUAUGAGAUAUAACCAUUGAGCUGAAAUGUGAAUGAUGAUGUGCGUAUCGAGUUUAUAUUCGAAUGUAAUAUACGACUAUUAAGUGAUAAGGUGGCUGACAUGUGUUAUGAUCAAUUGUGUAUGAGAUUGAAAAUAUCUGGACAUGAGAUCCGCAGGCUAUAUGCUGGAAAAAUAUCCGGACAUGAGACCCGCAGGCUAUAUGCUAGAAAUAUAUCCGGACUUGAGGUCCGCAGGCUACGUGUUGGAAUUAUAUCCGGGUUAAAUCCCGCAGGCUUCGUGCUAGUAAUAUAUCUGGGUCAAAUCCCGCAGGCCUAGUGCUGGUAUUAUAUCUGAGUUUAAAGUCCUAUAGGCUUUAUGCUGGUGUUAUGUUUGGGUUUUAUACCUCGCAGGCCAAGUGUUAGUGAAUUUGAUAAAGUAUAUGACUACGAGAUCCUAUGCUAAGAUGAUAAAUUGAACUCAUAUUACACAUUAAGUGAUUCAGGUAUGUGAUAUAUAUAUAUUAUAUGUGAGAUUGAUCUGACGGGAAUUAAGAAUGUGUAAUGAGAAGCAUAUGAAAAGAUGUUGUAAAUUCAUAUGUAUAUUUGUAUAUGUGUGCAUUCAGUUAUUAUGCAAAGUUACAAGAUAGUUUUCGAUAUGCUAUUUAUCUAUGAAUGUUGAAAGUAAGUGUGGGUAAGAAAUGAUACACUAGUGAAAUUUGAAAGAAUUGAAAUUAAUCCGGAAGCUUGUAAAUACUAUGUUUAUAUGAGUUUGAGUAUAAACGGAGUAAAUGAUAUGUGUUUGUGCAUAAUCAGCCAAAUAGUAUUGUACUCAGAAAGUGUUAUGUGCUUUCGAACAUUUGGUUUGUUUUUAAGUUCAACUGUUUAAAUUGCUUAAGACUUACUAAGCUUAUGAAAGCUUACUUUGAAUGUUAUGUUUCUCUGUUUAUUUUUGCAGAUCGUUGACUCUUACUAUUAGCUCGGGGAUCGUCAGCACUUCGUCACACUAUCUACUAUUGUAGUAAUCAUGUGAUUUGGACUUAGCUUAUGGCAUGUAUAGGAUAGACUAUAAAUAGAAUGAUAUUUUGACUAUUGUAUAUAAGCCAUGCGAAUAUGGCAUCUUACGGAAGUUUACUUUUAUAAGUUUUAAAUUCGAUCCUUGUUUGUGUCUAUUAGUUAUAUAAAUAAAUGAUCUUUUAUUUAAGAAAAGGUUCAAAAUUUUACUGUUUUGAUCCGAUUCCUAAUUUCUGGUAACGUCUCGUCCUAUUCUGGCGACGAUUACGGGAUAGGGGUGUUACACUUUUGAUCCGAUCUGACUAUGUUUUCUUAUAGAUUUGUGCUGUCAGCUAAGUUUAACCAUGUCGUGCCUGAUAAAGUUGAUAGUAAUAUUUUGGAUUUUGAAUAGGAAACAAAUCCUAGUCUUCUAGUUUCGUAAAUGUUUGAAAAUGAUAUGAAAAUGCUUUGUUCGACAUAUUGAAUCAAUAGUCUUAGAGUUUUUACAAGUUAAUUCUGCGACUCGACAACCUCUACCCCCAAUUGUGUCUUCUUCGAUAUUCCCUUGUCCUUAGAAUGUUAAUACGAUAAAUGAUUAUAAAAUUUUGAUUGAUUAAUUUAUUAAGCAUGAGACAGAGAUACAUCAGCAAUACCUGAAACUUGUACACCUUCCCGAAAUUAUAUUGAUAAAGUUAGAGAAGAGGCCACUAAUCCUGAUGAUAUUACGGGUACAUUUUCUUCAUUUACUAUUUUUAUACAAAUCGUGAUUAAUUCUGGAGUAAUGCAUUCUUAAUUUUGAAUUGUGUUAAUAACUGAAAAGAUUAUGCCAGUGGAGUUGACUGAUUGUGAUAUUAGAAUAAGAAUUUGUUAGAUCAGUAUGUUUGUGCUAGUAGCAUAUUUCACUGAGAAUUUGAGGUUGUGAAAUUCUUGUCAAGCUGAUGUCAUUAACAUUCGAUGAGUUUGAUGUGAUAUUCGAUAUGAAUUGAUUAAUUUUAUAUGAUGUUGUGAUUGACUGUAAAUAGAUACAGACUGUACUCAAGUGUCAGAGAGAGAAAUCAAUAAAUGUUGAGAUUGACAGACUUGACUGUGUGAACGAUAGCAUGUUAGUGUUAACGAUCCAUGAAAUGAUUAGAAAGAGAUUGUGGAUUGUAUUUUGUUUGUAUCCUAGAUAACAGAAUGUCAAAAUGAAAGAUUAAUUAGGUACAGAUGAUGAAAGAAUUUAUUGAUAUAUUUUUAGAAGAAUUAUUUGGAUUAUCACUAGUAAGAGAAAGUGAGUUUAUAACUGAUAUGACACUCAAAACUGCUUAAAUCUUUAUUGCUCUGUAUAGAAUAGUAUUAUCAAAAUUUUAAGAACUGUAGGCAUUACUAAAAUAGUUAUUUCGAGAGAAGACUUGUUCAACUAAAUAUGUAAUCUGGGAAAAAUGAUACUGUGCUUAUAAAUAAAAAGAUGGGAUUUUGAAAACAGUGUAUAGAUUUUAGAUAGAAAAUUGGAGACACCGUUAGGAUUAUUAAUUGUUCAGUCACUUUAUAUUUUUAGUAGACAGAAGCUUCUAGCUGUGUCUGAUCAGAGUUGUUGCUAUGUUAUUAAUGAUAUUCAAUUUAUGUGAGGAAUGAAAAUUGAACAUUAUCAUCGUCGAAGAACAGAGUUGCAGAUCUUACAAGAGAAAUAAAUGUAUGUGAAGUUCAUCAAAUGUGAAUUAUGAUAUCGAUAAGUUGUUUUCUAAACCUUUUAAUAACAGUUGAAGAUAUCUGAAUUAAUUCAGAUGAACUCCUAAUAACUCUAAACUAAGAAAUUUUUGGGAAAUAUAACAGAAUUGCGUAUUUUUCUGGGAUUUACAAUAUAUUACAGAUGAUUUGUUUAAUUUUUUUUAUGAUAGCUCUACCAUUGACGAGGUUGUUGUAGAUAAAUGUCAGUUUUGUCUAGUUGAAUAAAUACCAGAAGAGUUUCGAAUAGUUGAAAUAUAUAUUAAUAUAAGUUCCAAAAUUGAAUCUGAAAUAGUGUAAAUGUCUAGACUAAUUGAAAGAUUAUGAUCACUUGAUUAACUAUCACUCGAGUAAAGCUAUUGUUGUAGUUGAUGCCUUGAGUCGAAAAACUUUAUACACAUUGGGAACAUUGAACACUUAGUUGAAUUAUAGUUGAAUGGUUCUAUUAAUGAAAAAGUAAGGGUUAAACCCUUGUUCCUUUAGAGAAUUCGUAAGAUACAAAGAGAUGAUUUGAAUUUGAAUUUUAAACGAGAACAAAUUUAGGAUGGUCAGAGUUGUGAUUGUAGUGUUGGAAGUGAUGAUAAUUUACAUUUCAGAAACCGAAUUUGUGUAUUGAACUCUUCUGAGGUUAAAAGAGAUAGUCUAUGGAAAGCCCAUAACAUCAUUUAUUUAAUACAUCCGAGUGGUAACAAAAUGUAUAAGUCGAAAAUGAAAUGAGAAAUACUUAAAUUUGUAUCGAGAUACUUGGUAUGUCAACAAGUAAAAGUCGAGUGUCAGGUUUUUUUCAGGUUGGCUAUAGUCUAUUAAGAUCCACGAGUAAAAAUGGAAAUGCAUUACAAUGGAUUUCAAAUCAAGACUACCAAUAUCUCUAAAAAAGAAAGAUUCAAUAUGAGUAAAAAUUGUUAGGUUAUCAAAAAUAGCUCAUUUUAUUUCAGUCUAAAUAGAUUAUUCACUUGAGAAGCUAGCUGAGUUAUACGUUUUUGAAGUUGUUAGAUUGCACGACGUGCCGUUAUAUAUUAUUUUGACCAUUAUCCGAGGUUUAAUUCCAGGCUUGUGAUUCUAAAAGACAACUAUAGUGUUGUCUAAAAGAAUUUCCACCAUCAACAGAGUUUACAUUUGAUGAUAGUUAUCAAUGUAGUAUUAAAAUAACGCUACGAGAAUUUAUGUACUGAUCAGAAUUGAAUAAUAAGAAUUUGGCAAGAACUGAUUUGUUAUAUGAAACAAAAAAAAAAAGGUUCAAUUAUAGAUAUUGUUUGGAAGCUAUCUCUAUUUGUCAAAAAUUGUAUACUAAUCUGAAAAAAGAAUACAUCAAGUUUCAAACUAGUAACAGAGUAUUUUUCAAAGUUUUUCUCUGAAAGAAGGUAUUUUGAUUCAGCAUAAAAGGAAACUUAGUUCGAGUAUUUCUGAAAGUCUUUCCAUGUGUGCUACUACAUGUCCAUGGUGAUUUUUAGUUUACACGGCCUAGUUGUAACACCCCAAACCCGGCCCAGACGUUAUGACCGGAUCCGACAUGCCACAUCGAAGCAUUCAAAACAUUUUAUAUUGUUGAUCCAGAAAAAACUUACUUAGAGUGCGUUUGGUUCGCUGUAUUGGAUUAGAGAUGUAUUGGAUUAGAAGUGUAUUGGAUUAGAGGUGUAUUGGAUUAGAGGUGUAAUAGCAAAUCAACUGUUUGGUUGAAUGUAAUGGAAUAGAUGCGUAAUAGUAAUCUUGUGUUUGGUUGAAUGGAAUAGAGGUGUAAUAGCAUAGUGGAAAAAACUAAAAUGACUAGAAUACCCUUAGCAUAAAUUUAUUUUGGUAAAUGAUUAUUGUUAUUGUUAUUUAAAUUUUAAUAAGAUUAUUAUUAUCAAUAAUAAAUAUUUUAAUCAUAUUUAAACAUAAUUAUUAUUAAACAUAUUUUAAUUAAAAUAUAUAAUUUAAUAAAAUUCUUAAUAAUUACCAGAAAUUUGUUUUGGUAAAUUAUUAUUGUUAUUGUUAUUUAAAUUUUGAUAAGAUUAUUAAUAUGAAUAAUAAAUAAUUUAAUCAUAUUUAAACAUAAUUAUUAUUAAAUAUAUUAUACUUAAAAUAUAUAAUUUAAUAAAAUUCUUAAUAAUUAAUAUUCUUAUAUGAAUUUACUCAAAUCAUAAUAUAUUAUAUGAUACUAUAAAAGAUAAUUUGAAAUAAUUAAUAUUAAAUAUAUUUUAAUUAAAAUAUAUGAUUUAAUAAAAUUUAAAAUAAUUAUAACUAAUAAAAUUUAAUAAGUAAGAAUUGAACUCUAAAAAAUAAAAAAAACAUAACCAUAUCGAAUUAUCAUCAAGAACUCGAUUGAAUUUACAACAAUUCUGAAUUAAACGGAAGUACUGCCUCAAUAUCUCACUUUCAACUAAAAAUAUAAAGCAAGCAUACAAUAGAAGAAAUUCAAGCCGAUACAAUAUCUCUUUCACCUUGCUCUCAACUCCAAUUGGCCUUCCAUGAAACCGAUUCUUCACUUCAAACAAAAUAGCUCACCAAUCUAGCAGGAAAACGAAUACUGUCCAAAGUUGCCAUUGAAAAUAACCUCCAACUUCAUGUGUCCAUUCCACAAGUUAAGGGAAAAAGCAAUCUCUGCCAAUUCUGGAUUUAUAUGAUGCAUUGAUAAAUCAGGAAAUAGAAGGCCAUGAGGUAAGGUUGCUAAAAAAUCACAAUGAAUCAAAAGUAAUUUACCUCUCCAGGAAGGCUAAAUUGCCAAGAGCACAUGUUUCCUCUAAAGCACCAAAAACUAGAAGACAUAUUUGUUGACAAGUUGCAGUACUGCCUCAAGAUCUUAGUUCAACUACAAUAUAAAGCAAGCAUUCAGCAGAAGAAAUCAAAAGCUUACUUGUUCCUCGUUUUCAGCAGAAGGGAAUCUCUACUUACUCUGCCUAUGUCAUGAGCACCAAUGCCAGAAACUAAACAAUGAAGCUGAAUGAUGUCCAUCACUGAUCCUAUGAAUUAAAACAAUCAAUGCAAUCAGCUAAAUUCAGAAAAACAAUUCAGAAAAAUAAUUACAUGACAAUGAAACAUGAAACAUGAAAUAGUAUAAGAACAAUUUUAUUACCAUAAUCGAAGUUUUGGUUAGUUCCCAUUGCAACGGUAACAUAGACACAGAAACAUGCUCAAUCAUAAUGACAGAUACAAAUACAAUAACAUCAGUCGAGGAAGAUUACCACCAUUUGAUUGAUACGCAUGAACCCCGCAAUAGUACAUUCAAUGACAUAGAGUUGCAACCAGUAGCUAAGGUUAAAUCCAGACGCACCAUUGGCAGUUUCUAAUGAAACUCUGAGUCGGUUUUGUACACCUCUUCUUAGACUGCCUACGACUCUUUCCCAUUUGACUAUCUCUAGAUUUCAGAAGGAUGACUUACAAAGAUCAUCUAUGUGACUGUGUCUGUUAUAAGAGAAUGACACAAUAGCACAGUAAUUGUCUAAUAAUAACUGCAGGUAUACUGAGAAGAGAACAACAAAGUGAAAUAUUAAUAAUAUUUGGGCUUUGCAUAACUGAAUGCAAGAGGAAAUCAUAUGCGAAGUGCUUGAAUUAUAUUCCUUAUAAGCUCACGGUUUUCUUUGGAUUCCCCUCUGGUUCAUCCUCACCAAAGAAAUGAGAUUCAUAGGUUCACAGAUUCACAGAUUCUAACAUGUAGGUAGUAGCACGAAUUGUAAACAAAGAAAAGGAUUUCAUGAAGUUUAUUACAAUUGAUUCUCCUAAUUUGUGGUUGUUAAUUGCAUAAAUAUUCUAUUUGCAUGAGCUUGCAUUGUAUUUUCUUACAUUCCAAACAUAUGAAAAUGGUAAAUAGUAAAUAUAUUAAACUCUCCUAGGAGGAAGACAACUUCAUCCAUGGGGGACUGCAGGACACAGUUCUGGCAUUUACUAAUGGUUUGAGGCUGUGGCUAAGAACGAGCUCAAAUGAAUACAGACAGUGAGAUAGGAUCAUCUCAAAAGAUACUGGUUUUUAUUUUCAUUGCCACAUUACGAGUUUGUAUUCUUUGAGAGUUUCUAACAAUUCUAUGCAAUACCAAGAUGCAAAAGAUCGAUAGCCCAACAAAGGGGGCGGAUGAUCAUUUAUUUUUCGUUCUCAAAGCGGAACAUUCAUCAUCAGUCUUAGAUAUUCAUCCAUCGAAACUCAACAACAAACAAAUUAUUACCAUUUACCGUAGGUGAAAAAAAAUCUUUGCAACCCACACAUCACAAGGCUUCCACACAAAAGGUAAGAACACAAGGAAGUGUUGGGGAAGCUCAUUAGCAAGUUUGAUAUAAGUAACCUAUGAACAUUUAAACAUGUCAAUGCUCAAACUCGCUCACCACUACCUUCUGAUUCCAUGGCCUUUAAACUUUCUGCCAUCAUUUGAUCUCUGUUCUGUCUUUGUCUUUCUACAGCAACCAUAUACAGGGCUACAUAAGAACUAAUUGUGAAUUACCAGCAAGAACAAGGAAACAAGAUGAAGUUUAUAAUUCAAGAGUGAAAAUAAUUCAACAAAAAAGUGAAAAUAAUCCAAUUUAUCUGUCCGCAUCUAUCCUUCCUAUAAUUCACCUUUUAACAAUUAUAGACCUAGUAAGAAACCUAUAACAAUCACAAAAGGCAGCAGCCAAAAUUUACCUUCCCGGUAGGGAGCCCACUCAUGCUUACGCAGAUGAUGUGGAGCAUCAAGUGGAGGCAACAUCCCAAAUUUCAGCAUAAUAGAUGGCCUAAAACAAUAAUUAGACCAUUAAACAAAUAAGAAAUUAGGUUAAAAAAACUCAUUGAUCCGAAAAAUAGUAGCAGCAUGAGCAAUUUGACUCGCCAACUGAAAGAAAAAGGAGAAAUUAAAUGAAAAUUUGUAACAUAGGGUAGAAAGAGUGAAGAGAAACAGAGGGAUUUUCCAUUACUCGAGUGGCGAGCUCGAGAGACUGAGCGUUGUCGACGAUAGAACCAGCGAUGGCUACGGUGACAGUGGGGAUAUCGUCGGCUUUUUUGGUUUCACUGGUUGAGAAGAAGAAGGUCGACUGGUUGAGAAGGCAAUCGAAAGAGUGGCAGAGCGAAAAAGAAAAGAAAGGAAACGGAGGGAACAAAUCGGCAGCAAAGAGGCAUAAUGGACUGGGAGGAAAUCGGCAGAAAACAAAAGCAAAGAAAUAAGGAAGGAAAUCGGAUGAAGGAACAGAAGAGAAACAAGGGGAUGGGGGGAGGGCAAAUCAGGGAGGUGAUGCUCAAUCGGUAGCUAAUCUGGGCAAAGAGGGGGGAAUAGAAAUCAGUGGUUUUCACCGAUUAAGAAGGUAAUGGAUUAGAUGCGUAUUACCAAUACAUCAAACCAAACGACGUGUUAGAGAGGUAUUAGGUGGGGCCCACCGAUUAGGGGUGUAUUGGCUUAGCCAAUACACCAAACCAAACAAGCUGUUAGUGUUUUAAAAGAUAAUUUCAUUAUAGGUUAAAGUGAAUGGAAG
rnacentral:lncRNA from 1 species